CAUUUCUUUUUUAAUUAUUUUGAAAGUAUAGUCUGCCCACUGAAUUUAUUAAAGGGCCGCAGUAUAUUGACUGUGCAAAGGUAGCAUAAUCAUUAGCCUUUUAAUUAAAGGAUUGAAUGAAUGGCUUAACGAUUUAGUUUUUUAUUAUUAAUAAAAUAGAAUUUAAUUUUUUGGUGAAAAUUCCUUAUUUACCCUUAGGGACGAUAAGACCCUAUAGAUCUUUAUUUUUCUAAUCUACUUAUAUAUAAUUAGUUGAAAUUAAAAUUUUUAAUUUGAAUUAUUUUACUGGGGUAGUAGAAGAAAUAUUUUAAUUUCUUUAGAGUUAAUUUUUCAUUAGAAAUAUUUAAACUAUAAUAUUAUUUUUAAAAGUUACCUUAGGGAUAACAGCGUAAUAAUUUUGGUGAGUUCAUAUUAAUAAACUAUCUUGCGACCUCGAUGUUGAAUUAGAAUUAUUAAUUAGGGCAGUUUUUAUUUUUUUUAGUCUGUUCGACUAUUAAUUUUCUACAUGAUUUGA
rnacentral:rRNA from 1 species